AGCAGCCGCGGUAAUUCCAGCUCCAAUAGCGUAUAUUAAGGUUGUUGCAGUUAAAAAGCUCGUAGUUGAACUUCGGGAUCAAUGGAUCGGUCAUGCCGAUGGUAUGUACUGGUCGUAUUGGUUCUCACCUUCUAAGGAACCAUAAUGUCAUUAAUUUGAUGUUUUGGGGAAUUAGGACUGUUACCUUGAAAAAAUUGGAGUGUUUAAAGCAGGCUAACGCUUGAAUACAUUAGCAUGGAAUAAUGAAAUAGGACAUCGCAUUCUAUUUCGUUGGUUUCUAGGAUCGAUGUA
rnacentral:rRNA from 1 species